GCCUACGGGGCGCAGCAGUGGGGAAUAUUGCACAAUGGGGGGAACCCUGAUGCAGCGACGCCGCGUGAGUGAAGAAGUAUUUCGGUAUGUAAAGCUCUGUCAGCAGGGAAGAAGAAAGACGGUACCUGACCAAGAAGCCCCGGCUAACUACGUGCCAGCAGCCGCGGUAAUACGUAGGGGGCAAGCGUUAUCCGGAUUCAUUGGGCGUAAAGCGCACGCAGGCGGGGAGCUAA
rnacentral:rRNA from 1 species